AGGCGUAGUCAGUGGGGCGCCUCGGGGGCUCUCGGGGCUUCCCUGUCGCGUCGGCUGCCGGGGGCGUUCUCCCGCCCUCCGCCGCUCCGCCUACGUCCAGACUCCGCCCGGUAGCUUGAGUUGGGCAAUCUGUAGCCGAGGAAGCGCUACGUGGAGACCGGACUAAGUGGAUGCAGAGCCCUGGAGCUGGGCAACUAGAGGGCGGAUCUUGAAUGGGAUGCUGCACAUUCCUCAUGAGAAACCUGAGGUGGCACUAAAAAGACAGCCGCGGUUUUCCUACUGCCUGCUGCCAAGUUUCUUGAGGGCCCAGCUGUUAAGGGGCUGUGGUUGAGUUUUUCAGCAGGAGCAAGUUACAUAACACCACACCCUUGUCCACAGAGGCUCUGAUGUGAGGCCUUGGGGAGAGAUUUAUGGCAAGAUGACUGUACAGGUGUUCAUAGUCAAAGAGCAGGUUAAACUGGAAGGUGUCAUAUGUCCUCACUGACCCACCCUCUGGCUUGGCAGGGUCAAACUAGAGCUUCAGCCGCUGGCCUAAGCCACAACCAUAGCAACAGGGGAUCCGAACCACAUCGUAUCUUCAACCUGCACCACAGCUCAUGGCAAUGCCGGAUCACCGACCCACUGAGUGAGUCCAGGAAUCGAACCUGUAUCCUCAUGGAUACCAGUCAGAUUCGUUUCUGCUUCACCACAACAGGAACUUCUAAUGGAGUGUUUUUAAAGAAAUAGCAAUCCUAGGAGAGAUUUCAAACAGUAUUCCAUGGAAGCAUCUGCCACCAUUCAUUUUAAUUUCAUGUGAUAAAUGAAUCAUAUAGGAAUAUUUUCUAAGGGAAAUUAUAGUAGCCCCUUGCCAAUGAGGCUGGAAGAUCCUGUCUUUACCCUUUGUUAAGUAGACCACUCUUAUUGCAGUCUUAAAAAAAAGAAAACAAAAACAACUUCACAGGAAAUUCAACCUUCUGCAUAAUCUGCCUUAUAAAAGGUACUGAAAUCACCUAUGGUUCAUCAAAUUGAGAUCAUGAGAUAAUAGUGAUUUUUUUUUUUUUAACUUCUUUAGAAAGUCAUGGAUUCCAGAGGAUGUCAUACACAGUAGUCCCUCGCUGAGAGUGGGUAUAGAAAAUCAGAUGUCUAAAAUUUUAAUUGUAGAGUUAAUCCUAUGUUCUGGUGGAAUAUGUUUUGGACAUACAGAAGGUUUAUAUUAGUUAUACAGACAUUUGACCUAUUAGAUGCAUCCUCAUAGGAGGUCGACUAGGUAUUAAAAAUGUAAAGUCAGGAGUUCCCAUCAUUAACGCAGUGGAAACGACUCCAACUAGGAACCAUGAGGCUGUGGGUUCGAUCCCUGGCCUCACUCAGUGGGUUAAGGAUCAGGCAUUGCGAUGACCUGUGGUGUAGGUUGCAGAUGUGGCUUGGGUCCUGAGUUGCUGUGGCUGGGGCGGAGGCCAGCAGCUACAGCUCCAAUUCCACCCCUAGCCUGGGAACCUCCAUGUGCGGCCCUAAAAAGACAAAAAGACAAAAACAACAACAAAAAGACAAAAAAAAAA
ensembl:lncRNA